rnacentral:lncRNA from 1 species
UCUCAGAAUUAGAGAAGAUGAUGUGGUGAUGGAAGAAGAGGUCAGAGAGGGAGAUUUGAAGAUGUUGCAGUUCUGGCCUUCAAGAUGGAGUCAGGGGCUAUCUUCAAGAGAGAAGAUCUUGAUCUGUGGCCCAGGCUGCAGUACAGUGACAUGAUCAUGGUUCACUACAGCUUCAAACUCCUGGCCUCAAGCCAUCCUCCCGUUUUGUUUUGUUUUGAAACAGAAUCUCACUCUCGCCCAGAGUGGAGUGCAGUGGUGUGAUCUCAGCUGCCUGCAGCCUUCACCUCCCAGGUUCAAGCGAUUCUCCUGCCUCAGCCUCUUGAGUAGCUGGGAUUAC